rnacentral:piRNA from 1 species
UGGGAAGCUUGUUGGGUUAGAGUGUCUC